rnacentral:rRNA from 1 species
GACAGAGGAUGCAAGCGUUAUCCCGGAAUGAUUGGGCGUAAAGCGUCUGUAGGUGGCUUUUUCAAGUUCGCCGUCAAAUCCCAGGGCUCAACCCUGGACAGGCGGUGGAAACUACCAAGCUGGAGUACGGUAGGGGGCAGAGGGAAUUUCCGGUGGAGCGGUGAAAUGCAUUGAGAUCGGAAAGAACACCAACGGCGAAAGCACUCUGCUGGCCGACACUGACACUGAGAGACGAAAGCUAGGGGAGCAAAUGGG